CUGGCGGCAGGCUUAACACAUGCAAGUCGAACGCGUGUAGCAAUACACGAGUGGCGCACGGGUGCGUAACGCGUGGGAACCUACCCCAUAGUACGGAAUAACCCAGGGAAACUUGGGCUAAUACCGUAUACGUCCUUCGGGAGAAAGAUUUAUCGCUAUGGGAUGGGCCCGCGUCAGAUUAGGUAGUUGGUAGGGUAAUGGCCUACCAAGCCGACGAUCUGUAGCUGGUCUGAGAGGGUGAUCGGCCACACUGGAACUGAGACACGGUCCAGACUCC
rnacentral:rRNA from 1 species